rnacentral:rRNA from 1 species
AGCGAACGCUGGCGGCAUGCUUAACACAUGCAAGUCGAGCGGGCACUUCGGUGUCAGCGUCAGACGGGGGAGUAACACGUGGGAACGUACCCUUUGGUUCGGAAUAACGCGGGGAAACUAGCGCUAAUACCGGAUACGCUCUUUUGGGGAAAGGCUUGCUGCCGAAGGAUCGGCCCGCGUCUGAUUAGCUAGUUGGUGGGGUAAUGGCCUACCAAGGCGACGAUCAGUAGCUGGUCAGAGAGGAUGAUCCGCCACACUGGGACUGAGACACGGCCCAGACUCUUACGGGAGGGAGCAGUGGGGGAUAUUGCAAUAUGGGCGGAAGGAUGAUGCAGCCAUGCCGGGUGAGUGAUGAAGGCCUUAGGGUUGUAAAGCUCUUUUGUCCGGGACGAUAAUGACGGUACCGGAAGAAUAAGCCCCGGCUAACUUCGUG